rnacentral:rRNA from 1 species
UCGGGAAUAUUGCGCAAUGGAGGAAACUCUGACGCAGUGACGCCGCGUGCAGGAAGAAGGUUUUCGGAUUGUAAACUGCUUUAGACAGGGAAGAAAAAGACAGUACCUGUAGAAUAAGCUCCGGCUAACUACGUGCCAGCAGCCGCGGUAAUACGUAGGGAGCAAGCGUUAUCCGGAUUUAUUGGGUGUAAAGGGUGCGUAGACGGGAAGACAAGUUAGUUGUGAAAUCCCUCGGCUUAACUGAGGAACUGCAACUAAAACUAUCAUUCUUGAGUGCUGGAGAGGAAAGUGGAAUUCCUAGUGUAGCGGCGAAAUGCGUAGAUAUUAGGAGGAACACCAGUGGCGAAGGCGACUUUCUGGACAGUAACUGACGUUGAGGCACGAAAGUGUGGGGAGCAAACAGGAUUAGAUACCC